rnacentral:rRNA from 1 species
GAUGAACGCUGGCGGCGUGCCUAAUACAUGCAAGUCGAGCGAACAGAUAAGGAGCUUGCUCCUUUGACGUUAGCGGCGGACGGGUGAGUAACACGUGGAUAACCUACCUAUAAGACUGGAAUAACUCCGGGAAACCGGGGCUAAUGCCGGAUAACAUUUAGAACCGCAUGGUUCUAAAGUGAAAGAUGGUUUUGCUAUCACUUAUAGAUGGACCCGCGCCGCAUUAGCUAGUUGGUAAGGUAACGGCUUACCAAGGCAACGAUACGUAGCCGACCUGAGAGGGUGAUCGGCCACACUGGAACUGAGACACGGUCCAGACUCCUACGGGAGGCAGCAGUAGGGAAUCUUCCGCAAUGGGCGAAAGCCUGACGGAGCAACGCCGCGUGAGUGAUGAAGGUCUUCGGAUCGUAAAACUCUGUUAUUAGGGAAGAACAAAUGUGUAAGUAACUGUGCACGUCUUGACGGUACCUAAUCAGAAAGCCACGGCUAACUACGUG